rnacentral:rRNA from 1 species
UAGGGAAUAUUGGGCAAUGGAGGGAACUCUGACCCAGCCAUGCCGCGUGCAGGAUGAAGGCGUUAUGCGUUGUAAACUGCCUUUAUAUAGGAAGAAAUAGUCCUUGCGAGGAAAGUUGACGGUACUAUAUGAAUAAGCACCGGCUAACUCCGUGCCAGCAGCCGCGGUAAUACGGAGGGUGCAAGCGUUGUCCGGAUUUAUUGGGUUUAAAGGGUGCGUAGGCGGUUUAUUAAGUCAGUGGUGAAAGACGGUCGCUCAACGAUUGCAGUGCCAUUGAUACUGGUAGACUUGAGUAUGAUUGAGGUAGCUGGAAUGGAUAGUGUAGCGGUGAAAUGCAUAGAUAUUAUCCAGAACACCAAUUGCGUAGGCAAGUUACUAAGUCAUAACUGACGCUGAGGCACGAAAGUGUGGGUAUCAAACAGGAUUAGAUACCCACGUAGUCCCUGAGCGGGCUGGCAAGGCGCAU